rnacentral:rRNA from 1 species
UCAGGAUGAACGCUAGCUACAGGCUUAACACAUGCAAGUCGAGGGGCAGCAUUUUAGUUUGCUUGCAAACUAAAGAUGGCGACCGGCGCACGGGUGAGUAACACGUAUCCAACCUGCCGAUAACUCGGGGAUAGCCUUUCGAAAGAAAGAUUAAUAUCCGAUAGUAUAUUAAAACCGCAUGGUUUUACUAUUAAAGAAUUUCGGUUAUCGAUGGGGAUGCGUUCCAUUAGUUUGUUGGCGGGGUAACGGCCCACCAAGACUACGAUGGAUAGGGGUUCUGAGAGGAAGGUCCCCCACAUUGGAACUGAGACACGGUCCAAACUCCUACGGGAGGCAGCAGUGAGGAAUAUUGGUCAAUGGACGAGAGUCUGAACCAGCCAAGUAGCGUGAAGGAUGACUGCCCUAUGGGUUGUAAACUUCUUUUAUAUGGGAAUAAAGUAUUCCACGUGUGGAAUUUUGUAUGUACCAUAUGAAUAAGGAUCGGCUAACUCCGUGCCAGCAGCCGCGGUAAUACGGAGGAUCCGAGCGUUAUCCGGAUUUAUUGGGUUUAAAGGGAGCGUAGGUGGAUUGUUAAGUCAGUUGUGAAAGUUUGCGGCUCAACCGUAAAAUUGCAGUUGAAACUGGCAGUCUUGAGUACAGUAGAGGUGGGCGGAAUUCGUGGUGUAGCGGUGAAAUGCUUAGAUAUCACGAAGAACUCCGAUUGCGAAGGCAGCUCACUAGACUGCAACUGACACUGAUGCUCGAAAGUGUGGGUAUCAAACAGGAUUAGAUACCCUGGUAGUCCACACAGUAAACGAUGAAUACUCGCUGUUUGCGAUAUACAGUAAGCGGCCAAGCGAAAGCAUUAAGUAUUCCACCUGGGGAGUACGCCGGCAACGGUGAAACUCAAAGGAAUUGACGGGGGCCCGCACAAGCGGAGGAACAUGUGGUUUAAUUCGACGAUACGCGAGGAACCUUACCCGGGCUUAAAUUGCAUUUGAAUAAUCUGGAAACAGGUUAGCCGCAAGGCAAAUGUGAAGGUGCUGCAUGGUUGUCGUCAGCUCGUGCCGUGAGGUGUCGGCUUAAGUGCCAUAACGAGCGCAACCCUUAUCUUUAGUUACUAACAGGUCAUGCUGAGGACUCUAGAGAGACUGCCGUCGUAAGAUGUGAGGAAGGUGGGGAUGACGUCAAAUCAGCACGGCCCUUACGUCCGGGGCUACACACGUGUUACAAUGGGGGGUACAGAAGGCAGCUACCUGGCGACAGGAUGCUAAUCCCAAAAACCUCUCUCAGUUCGGAUCGAAGUCUGCAACCCGACUUCGUGAAGCUGGAUUCGCUAGUAAUCGCGCAUCAGCCAUGGCGCGGUGAAUACGUUCCCGGGCCUUGUACACACCGCCCGUCAAGCCAUGAAAGCCGGGGGUACCUGAAGUACGUAACCGCAAGGAGCGUCCUAGGGUA